rnacentral:tRNA from 1 species
GGUCCGUUGGCCAAGUGGUAAGGCAUUGCUCUGCAAAAGCAACACCCCCGGUUCGAAUCCGGGACGGACCUCAA